UGUCGAAAUGUGUCGUAGAGGCUAAGGCGGGCACGAGAGUGCCUAAUCAAGUAAGUGAUGUAGUGAGAUCGCAGCAUAUGACCGAGGCAAUUUGAGGUUAUAUGGUCAAGCGAAUAAGCGCACACGGUGGAUGCCUUGGCGGUCAGAGGCGAUGAAGAACGCAG
rnacentral:misc_RNA from 1 species